GAUGAACGCUGGCGGCGUGCCUAAUACAUGCAAGUCGAGCGAACGGACGAGAAGCUUGCUUCUCUGAUGUUAGCGGCGGACGGGUGAGUAACACGUGGAUAACCUACCUAUAAGACUGGGAUAACUUCGGGAAACCGGAGCUAAUACCGGAUAAUAUUUUGAACCGCAUGGUUCAAAAGUAAAAGACGGUCUUGCUGUCACUUAUAGAUGGAUCCGCGCUGCAUUAGCUAGUUGGUAAGGUAACGGCUUACCAAGGCAACGAUGCAUAGCCGACCUGAGAGGGCGGGAGGAAGCACAGGGUCUGAGUACGGGGCGGGACUCCUGCGGGAGGCAGCAGGAGGGAAGAGUACGCAAGUGGCUAAGAUGUUACGUAGUAACGCCGCGGGAGGAAUUAAGGUCUUGUGAUCUGAAAACUCUGUUAUGAUGGAAGAACAAAUGGGUAAGUAACUAUGCGCGCCUUCAGCGUGCCUAAUCAGAAGGACACGGCUCAGUAAGUG
rnacentral:rRNA from 1 species